rnacentral:rRNA from 1 species
CACGUAGGCACCAAGCGUUAUCCGGAUUUAUUGGGCGUAAAGAGCUCGUAGGCGGUUCGGUAAGUCGGGUGUGAAAACUCUGGGCUCAACCCAGAGAGGCCACCCGAUACUGCUGUGACUAGAGUGCGGUAGGGGAACGGGGAAUUCCUGGUGUAGCGGUGAAAUGCGCAGAUAUCAGGAGGAACACCAGCGGCGAAGGCGCCGCUCUGGGCCGUAACUGACGCUGAGGAGCGAAAGCAUGGGUAGCAAACAGG